rnacentral:rRNA from 1 species
GACGAACGCUGGCGGCGUGCCUAACACAUGCAAGUCAAGGACUGUAGCAAUACAGGACUGGCGCACGGGUGCGGAACACGUAGGUAAUCUGCCCUUUAGGGAGAACAACCAGCCGAAAGGUUGGCUAAAUCUCCGUAACAUCACGAUGUGGCAUCACAUUGUAAUCAAGUUUUCUAAAGGAUGAGCCUGCGUCUGAUUAGCUAGUUGGUAGUGUAANGGACUACCAAGGCUUCGAUCAGUAGCUGGUCUGAGAGGAUGAUCAGCCACAUUGGGACUGAGACACGGCCCAGACUCCUACGGGAGGCAGCAGUGAGGAAUAUUGCACAAUGGACGAAAGUCUGAUGCAGCAACGCCGCGUGAGGGAUGAAGGUGCUUUGCAUUGUAAACCUCUGUAGUCGGAGACAACGACGGGUU